rnacentral:rRNA from 1 species
GAUGAACGCUGGCGGCGUGCCUAAUACAUGCAAGUCGAGCGAACAGACGAGGAGCUUGCUCCUCUGACGUUAGCGGCGGACGGGUGAGUAACACGUGGAUAACCUACCUAUAAGACUGGGAUAACUUCGGGAAACCGGAGCUAAUACCGGAUAAUAUAUUGAACCGCAUGGUUCAAUAGUGAAAGACGGUUUUGCUGUCACUUAUAGAUGGAUCCGCGCCGCAUUAGCUAGUUGGUAAGGUAACGGCUUACCAAGGCAACGAUGCGUAGCCGACCUGAGAGGGUGAUCGGCCACACUGGCACUGAGACACGGUCCAGACUCCUACGGGAGGCAGCAGUAGGGAAUCUUACGCAAUGGGCGAAAGCCUGACGGAGCAACGCCGCGUGAGUGAUGAAGGUCUUCGGAUCGUAAAACUCUGUUAUUAGGGAAGAACAAAUGUGUAAGUAACUAUGCACGUCUUGACGGUACCUAAUCAGAAAGCCACGGCUAACUACGUG